GGGGAUGUUAGGUUUCGACAAAUUGUCCUUUCAAAACAAGCAAGUCGAGUAAAUGGCAAAUUCUCGUAAAAAAAUUUGCCAAAAGUUAUAAGUGUAAACUUCAUAACAAAAGCAAAGGUUGCUUUUGCUAACGCAUUUUCAACCAAUUUUGCUUACGCUUUAGCCUAAACCUUUUCGGUUAGCGCUUUAGCCAUCGGCUCGUUUAAUCCUGAUAAACGAGAACCCGGUGUUAUAUUUCAGGAUAGCACUUCUUGUUUUUUUCCGAACAAUUUUUGCAAAAACAAAUCGGAAAUAAAUUGGAAAGUCUUUCGUUUAUUUUUUGCUUUCCAAUUGAAAAAUUUCAAAUAAACUAAACUUGUAGUUUGUUUUAAUGGAACAAUUUUGGACAUGGGUUCAAUUCCCAUCAUCUCCACCA
rnacentral:tmRNA from 3 species